ACACAUGAGUGAUUUCAUACAUAGAGCUGUCAUAGGCUACUUCCUCUUUCCAUUUAAGCUAUAAAAACUGCCUUGUGGACACCUUAGUUCAUUCACAAAGCAAGCAGCUAAGGGAACUAAAUCUCUUCACAGCUGGAAAAAAGCAACUUCCUCAGACUGCAAUGCACCUCAACCAAUCAACAGCUCUGUUGUGUGCAGCGAUGCUGCUGUGCACCCUUGUGUCCUGCGAUUCAAUGAAGUUGACUUCAUGCUGUACAAAAACCAGCUCUUAUCCCAUUACAACUCCCGUCACAAGCUGUAGGUUCCAGAGAGCAUCCCACCACUGCGUCAAUGCUGUUGUAUUCACCAGUGAAGGCACACAUUUCUGCAGCUAUCCCAGAGCUCCAUGGGUUGCAGCCAAGGUCAAAGAGCUCCGCAGGGAUGGUAUUGCAUGCACAUUUUAAACAGCAGAACAGGAGUAAACAUGUGACAGUGAAUGGACGCUGCCCAAACACUGCAAGCCACUGUGUGUGACCUCUACCAUUUCUCAUCACCCCCUUCUCCUAUUUAUCAACAUCCUACCCAUAUUUAUAUCGCUUGACUGAACAGAAAAAAUGUAAUCUGUCAUAUUUAUUUUUAUA